rnacentral:rRNA from 1 species
AGUGAACGCUGGCGGUAGGCCUAACACAUGCCAGUCGAACGGCAGCACAGUAAGAGCUUGCUCUUACGGGUGGCGAGUGGCGGACGGGUGAGGAAUACAUCGGAAUCUACUUUUUCGUGGGGGAUAACGUAGGGAAACUUACGCUAAUACCGCAUACGACCUACGGGGGAAAGCAGGGGAUCUUUUGACCUUGCGCGAUUGAAUGAGCCGAUGUCGGAUUAGCUAGUUGGCGGGGUAAAGGCCCACCAAGGCGACGAUCCGUAGCUGGUCUGAGAGGAUGGUCAGCCACACUGGAACUGAGACACGGUCCAGACUCCUACGGGAGGCAGCAGUGGGGAAUAUUGGAAAAUGGGCGCAAGCCUGAUCCAGCCAUACCGCGUGGGUGAAGAAGGCCUUCGGGUUGUAAAGCCCUUUUGUUGGGAAAGAAAAGCAGCAGGUUAAUACCCCGCUGUUCUGACGGUACCCAAAGAAUAAGCACCGGCUAACUUCGU